GGAAGUAAAAGUCGUAACAAGGUUUCCGUAGGUGAACCUGCGGAAGGAUCAUUAGUGAAUUGAAUAUGUUAGCGGACCUCUUCGGAGUCCCUAGCAUCAAAUCAUAUCCAUAACACCUGUGAACUGUAAGGCUGUCUUGAAAACGAAAGUGAUUAGAGCGCCUGCCCAUUUUAUACAAACAUUAAAGUAACAAACGUAGUCUUAUUAUAAUCUAAUAAAACUUUCAACAACGGAUCUCUUGGCUCUCGCAUCGAUGAAGAACGCAGCGAAAUGCGAUAAGUAAUGUGAAUUGCAGAAUUCAGUGAAUCAUCGAAUCUUUGAACGCACCUUGCGCUCUUUGGUAUUCCGAAGAGCAUGCCUGUUUGAGUGUCAUGAAAAUAUCAACCUUGACUUGGGUUUAGUGCUCUUGUCUUGGCUUGGAUUUGGCUGUUUGCCGCUCGAAAGAGUCGGCUCAGCUUAAAAGUAUUAGCUGGAUCUGUCUUUGAGACUUGGUUUGACUUGGCGUAAUAAGUUAUUUCGCUGAGGACAAUCUUCGGAUUGGCCGAGUUUCUGGGACGUUUGUCCGCUUUCUAAUACAAGUUCUAGCUUGCUAGACAUGACUUUUUUAUUAUCUGGCCUCAAAUCAGGUAGGACUACCCGCUGAACUUAAGCAUAUCAAUAAGCGGAGGAAAAGAAACUAACAAGGAUUCCCCUAGUAACGGCGAGUGAAGCGGGAAGAGCUCAAAUUUGAAAUCUGGUGGCCUCAGGCUAUCCGAGUUGUAAUCUAUAGAAACAUUUUCCGCGUUGGCCCAUGUACAAGUCUCUUGGAAUAGAGCGUCAUAGAGGGUGAGAAUCCCGUCCUUGACAUGGACUACCAGUGCUUUGUGAUAUGUUUUCAACGAGUC
rnacentral:sRNA from 1 species